GACGGAGGAUGCAAGCGUUAUCCGGAAUGAUUGGGCGUAAAGCGUCCGCAGGUGGCAGUUCAAGUCUGCUGUCAAAGACCGGGGCUUAACUUCGGAAAGGCAGUGGAAACUGAACAGCUAGAGUAUGGUAGGGGCAGAGGGAAUUCCUGGUGUAGCGGUGAAAUGCGUAGAUAUCGUCUGGAACGCCAAAGGUGAAAACAGACUGCUGGGAGUGUGCUGACGCUGAGACACGAAAGCCAGGGGAGCAAACGGG
rnacentral:rRNA from 1 species